UCGGACGUGGUGUACGGCGCACACCCGCUUUUCGUGUUUGUGUGGUUGCAUCGAAAAAAAUGAAAGCGGGAGGCCUGAGCUCGAUUCCUAGCGUCCGAA